rnacentral:rRNA from 1 species
GAUGAACGCUGGCGGCGUGCUUAACACAUGCAAGUCGAACGAGAAGUGAAGACGGAAACCUUCGGGCGGAAGGCUUUAUUUCGAGUGGCGGACGGGUGAUUAACGCGUGGGUAACCUGCCUCAUACAGGGGGAUAACAGUUGGAAACGACUGUUAAUACCGCAUCAGACCACAGCACCGCAUGGUGCGGGGGUCAAAACUCCGGUGGUAUGAGAUGGACCCGCGUUCGAUUAGCCAGUUGGCGGGGUAACGGCCCACCAAAGCGACGAUCGAUAGCCGAUCUGAGAGGAGGACCGGCAACAUUGGGACUGAGACACGGACCAAAAUCCUACGGGAGGCAGCAGUGGGGAAUAUUGCAAAAUGGGGGAAACCCUGAUGCAGCGACGCCGCGUGAGUGAAGAAGUAUUUCGGUAUGUAAAGCUCUAUCAGAAGGGAAGAAAAUGACGGUACCUGAGGAAGAAGCCCCGGCUAACUACGUG